rnacentral:lncRNA from 1 species
CUUCUCAGCUGGUGAAGAUAAUAAAGUUUCAGCAAAUACUUUACAGCCAUGAGCCGACAUUAAUGAAGUGAUAUUCAUUUGACUCGGUUCUGGUGUUGGAGCUUCAGCCGCAGCCGACGGCAACAUUGUACUGUUCUGAAUAACAAAAAUAUUGUACGGUAUUUCGUCGAUGGCUUUGCGGUGUUGGAGCUUCAGCUGCAGCCGACGGCAACAUUGUACUGAUCUGAAUGACGGAAAUAUUGUACGGAAUUUCUUCGACGGCUUUGACAAAUGUCGCCGGAAGAUUACCGU